CAGUCGCCGCGGGAAUACGAAGGGGGCUAGCGUUGUUCGGAUUUACUGGGCGUAAAGGGCGCGUAGGCGGACUGAUAAGUCAGGGGUGAAAUCCCAAGGCUCAACCUUGGAACUGCCUUUGAUACUGUUUGUCUUGAGUUCGAGAGAGGUAAGUGGAACUGCGAGUGUAGAGGUGAAAUUCGUAGAUAUUCGCAAGAACACCAGUGGCGAAGGCGGCUUACUGGCUCGAAACUGACGCUGAGGCGCGAAAGCGUGGGGAGCGAACAGGAUUAGAUACCCCUGUAGUCCCUGUCUCUUAUAC
rnacentral:rRNA from 1 species